rnacentral:misc_RNA from 1 species
AACGCACAUUGCGCCCUCUGGUAUUCCGGGGGGCAUGCCUGUCCGAGCGUCAUUGCAACCCCUUCAAGCCCGGCUUGUGUGUUGGGCGUCGUCCCCGCUGGACGCGCCCGAAAGGCAGUGGCGGCUCCGUGUCCGGUGCCCGAGCGUAUGGGCUUCAAUCACCCGCUCUGGUGGCCCGGCCGGCGCUGGCCUUCUCAGUCUUGACCAACUUUUGGUUGAGGCCUUGUGAACUUUCGUGGUUGACCUCGGAUCAGGUAGGGAUACCCGCUGAACUUAA